rnacentral:lncRNA from 1 species
CCCAGGGCUUUGCAUAAUAAGCAAGUGCUCUACCCUCAGGUACACUCCCAGCUGCUUGUGGAACACUUACUAUGUACAGAUGCUGGUCUGGGUAGUUUAUAUGUAUUAACUCAUUUAACCCAUGAAAAUCUGAUGAGAAGGUCUAUGGUUAUCUCUGCCUUAGAGAUGGGAGUGAGGAGGCACAGAGAGAUUAAGCACAUGCUCAAGAACCCCUGCGUAGGAUGUAGACUUUUAACUGUGCUGUUCAACCUCUUAAAGCGUACAAGAGGGACUCAGAUGAAGCUGAGCAUUUCGUUGUUGCUGUGGGCAGAAGGAAGGGUUGGGUUGGGCCAGAGGCAGCAGUGUGCUGGUCAGCUGGCUCUUUUCCCUGCCACCUCACCCCUAAGCACUUGCUCGGAAUGGUUGCCAAUUUCUUUUGUGUAAAAUUCCUGCUUGUGGGACCCUUGCCUCUGCGGAGCUGGUGUAAGCUGGCCCUAGCUCACCAGUGGCUGAAAGUCACUGUCCAAAUCGAUAUUGGACAUUUUGGCCAGAAACAUGUUUUGCACGGAGUUAAAUUAAGGCUGCCAUACGUGUGUGUUCAGGGCACCCUAGGAGAAGCUGCGGACCAAAGUGCUCACUCCGAGGAUGCAGCUGCCUGACUCAUACUCAGGGUCAGGUUAAACAAGAGAAGAGGGUUUCUGAGCUAGUGGGGCUGGGGGGCCAGGAAGAGGCUGGUGAGCCGCGACUACUGAAGGUGCAGAAAACAGCAAGCCCCCAAAAGCAAAUGACUGGAAAACAUUGAGAUCACUAUGAGGACACCUCUGGAAAUAAAGCCACGAAGCAGGAGCCACACACUCAGAUGCCCACGUCUGCAGGCUGGUGACUUGAGUGGACGUAUUAGCCAAGGUGUGAUAGACUGGUGGAGACUGGCAAACUGCAAGCACACACCUUGCCAGAAGACGCUGAAAGCUUUUACUUUUUUUUUGUCUGUUUCAGUUUUUUUUAUAGGACAAACAGAAAAGGUCCACGAUCUGGAGGCAGGCCUCUACUUUGCAAGUUGUCACAAACCUCUCCCAGAAGCUUGAAGGCCAGGCUCCCGGGUUGCCUGUC